GGGUUGUGAGGUUAAGCGACUAAGCGUACACGGUGGAUGCCCUGGCAGUCAGAGGCGAUGAAGGACGUGCUAAUCUGCGAUAAGCGUCGGUAAGGUGAUAUGAACCGUUAUAACCGGCGAUUUCCGAAUGGGGAAACCCAGUGUGUUUCGACACACUAUCAUUAACUGAAUCCAUAGGUUAAUGAGGCGAACCGGGGGAACUGAAACAUCUAAGUACCCCGAGGAAAAGAAAUCAACCGAGAUUCCCCCAGUAGCGGCGAGCGAACGGGGAGGAGCCCAGAGCCUGAAUCAGUGUGUGUGUUAGUGGAAGCGUCUGGAAAGGCGCGCGAUACAGGGUGACAGCCCCGUACACAAAAAUGCACAUACUGUGAGCUCGAUGAGUAGGGCGGGACACGUGGUAUCCUGUCUGAAUAUGGGGGGACCAUCCUCCAAGGCUAAAUACUCCUGACUGACCGAUAGUGAACCAGUACCGUGAGGGAAAGGCGAAAAGAACCCCGGCGAGGGGAGUGAAAAAGAACCUGAAACCGUGUACGUACAAGCAGUGGGAGCACGCUUAGGCGUGUGACUGCGUACCUUUUGUAUAAUGGGUCAGCGACUUAUAUUCUGUAGCAAGGUUAACCGAAUAGGGGAGCCGAAGGGAAACCGAGUCUUAACUGGGCGUUAAGUUGCAGGGUAUAGACCCGAAACCCGGUGAUCUAGCCAUGGGCAGGUUGAAGGUUGGGUAACACUAACUGGAGGACCGAACCGACUAAUGUUGAAAAAUUAGCGGAUGACUUGUGGCUGGGGGUGAAAGGCCAAUCAAACCGGGAGAUAGCUGGUUCUCCCCGAAAGCUAUUUAGGUAGCGCCUCGUGAAUUCAUCUCCGGGGGUAGAGCACUGUUUCGGCAAGGGGGUCAUCCCGACUUACCAACCCGAUGCAAACUGCGAAUACCGGAGAAUGUUAUCACGGGAGACACACGGCGGGUGCUAACGUCCGUCGUGAAGAGGGAAACAACCCAGACCGCCAGCUAAGGUCCCAAAGUCAUGGUUAAGUGGGAAACGAUGUGGGAAGGCCCAGACAGCCAGGAUGUUGGCUUAGAAGCAGCCAUCAUUUAAAGAAAGCGUAAUAGCUCACUGGUCGAGUCGGCCUGCGCGGAAGAUGUAACGGGGCUAAACCAUGCACCGAAGCUGCGGCAGCGACGCUUAUGCGUUGUUGGGUAGGGGAGCGUUCUGUAAGCCUGUGAAGGUGUACUGUGAGGUAUGCUGGAGGUAUCAGAAGUGCGAAUGCUGACAUAAGUAACGAUAAAGCGGGUGAAAAGCCCGCUCGCCGGAAGACCAAGGGUUCCUGUCCAACGUUAAUCGGGGCAGGGUGAGUCGACCCCUAAGGCGAGGCCGAAAGGCGUAGUCGAUGGGAAACAGGUUAAUAUUCCUGUACUUGGUGUUACUGCGAAGGGGGGACGGAGAAGGCUAUGUUGGCCGGGCGACGGUUGUCCCGGUUUAAGCGUGUAGGCUGGUUUUCCAGGCAAAUCCGGAAAAUCAAGGCUGAGGCGUGAUGACGAGGCACUACGGUGCUGAAGCAACAAAUGCCCUGCUUCCAGGAAAAGCCUCUAAGCAUCAGGUAACAUCAAAUCGUACCCCAAACCGACACAGGUGGUCAGGUAGAGAAUACCAAGGCGCUUGAGAGAACUCGGGUGAAGGAACUAGGCAAAAUGGUGCCGUAACUUCGGGAGAAGGCACGCUGAUAUGUAGGUGAAGUGAUUUACUCAUGGAGCUGAAAUCAGUCGAAGAUACCAGCUGGCUGCAACUGUUUAUUAAAAACACAGCACUGUGCAAACACGAAAGUGGACGUAUACGGUGUGACGCCUGCCCGGUGCCGGAAGGUUAAUUGAUGGGGUCAGCGCAAGCGAAGCUCUUGAUCGAAGCCCCGGUAAACGGCGGCCGUAACUAUAACGGUCCUAAGGUAGCGAAAUUCCUUGUCGGGUAAGUUCCGACCUGCACGAAUGGCGUAAUGAUGGCCAGGCUGUCUCCACCCGAGACUCAGUGAAAUUGAACUCGCUGUGAAGAUGCAGUGUACCCGCGGCAAGACGGAAAGACCCCGUGAACCUUUACUAUAGCUUGACACUGAACAUUGAGCCUUGAUGUGUAGGAUAGGUGGGAGGCUUUGAAGUGUGGACGCCAGUCUGCAUGGAGCCGACCUUGAAAUACCACCCUUUAAUGUUUGAUGUUCUAACGUUGACCCGUAAUCCGGGUUGCGGACAGUGUCUGGUGGGUAGUUUGACUGGGGCGGUCUCCUCCUAAAGAGUAACGGAGGAGCACGAAGGUUGGCUAAUCCUGGUCGGACAUCAGGAGGUUAGUGCAAUGGCAUAAGCCAGCUUGACUGCGAGCGUGACGGCGCGAGCAGGUGCGAAAGCAGGUCAUAGUGAUCCGGUGGUUCUGAAUGGAAGGGCCAUCGCUCAACGGAUAAAAGGUACUCCGGGGAUAACAGGCUGAUACCGCCCAAGAGUUCAUAUCGACGGCGGUGUUUGGCACCUCGAUGUCGGCUCAUCACAUCCUGGGGCUGAAGUAGGUCCCAAGGGUAUGGCUGUUCGCCAUUUAAAGUGGUACGCGAGCUGGGUUUAGAACGUCGUGAGACAGUUCGGUCCCUAUCUGCCGUGGGCGCUGGAGAAUUGAGGGGGGCUGCUCCUAGUACGAGAGGACCGGAGUGGACGCAUCACUGGUGUUCGGGUUGUCAUGCCAAUGGCACUGCCCGGUAGCUAAAUGCGGAAGAGAUAAGUGCUGAAAGCAUCUAAGCACGAAACUUGCCCCGAGAUGAGUUCUCCCUGAC
rnacentral:rRNA from 1 species